GGGGACGACCGGUAUUGACAGCAUGUGCAGGUCGUUUGUAAGCACGUCGGGAGUUGGGUACACCUCCCGUGACCAAUGUAUCCGAACAAUAACUGGCAAUACUCAGUAUGCCAUGGCUGCUUAAUCCAGAGGAUUAACCAAAUGCCAUCGUUCAGCCCCAUCCAAACUCUGCCGAAGGGGAGCUCUGAGCGUCGAAAUGCAGAGUCGGGUUUUAUUGAUUGCUCUAGAUAAAAUCCAGUACCAAGAGACUAAGGAAUCUGAUUUGGUUAGUCGCUGACCGAUCAGGAUCCCGACAAUCUAAAAGCGAAUAAGCGUGUAGAAAGCAAAUGAGUUCCUUGUCUGGACGAGAGUUCGAAUCUCUCCGUCUCCACCA
rnacentral:tmRNA from 1 species